ACAACUUGGAAACACAUGAACAUAUACUUUAAAUGAAACAUCCUACUGAUCAGAAUUCUUUCUGAUAUUCAAGUUGAUAUCAUCACAUGAAGGUAGAGUAGUUGAACAUGAAUAAGAAAUAAGCCAACAAUUUUUCAAACAUUACUUGCAAUCUUUAAAGAUGAAACAGCAGCAGCAUCCGUAUAUUAGGCGUGUGUUAGGCGUUGCACCGCAUCCGUAUCUACACUACUUAAAAAGGAGGAAUAUGUUCCCUAUUCUGCCCAGCCCCACUACGACCAAUCUUUUCGUCGUCCGCAGUAUGUCGCCCGAUGGUUUCGCCCCGCACGCGGCAAACUGGGCCAGGCCCAUCACAAUACAAUCCACUGUCCUGCGUCGCACCCCCUAGCUCUUCCCUCCCUAUCCAACCCUAGCCGCCGCGCCGAACGCUCCCUUCGAUCUCUCCUCAGCUAAGCUCUCCUGUCUCGCCUCGCUUCACCUUCGAUCGUGCGGGACGACGGAUGCCAUUGAACUGAUGGAGUUUCUAUCGGACUCCCAGGCAGUGAUGCGCAAGGUGCCGAGAUGUGGAUCCUUGCGCACGGAGAACUCAUUCGCCGUUAGCAAGCCUCCGCCAGGCACAUCCUCGAUCAACAUCUGAUUCGUCCACUAGCGGCCAUUUUCUUUCUAUGUGAGAGCCGAAGUUGGUGCCAACCAACAUGGAGGGGACACACUACCUGAGAGGGUGCAUUUGAACGAGCGAGAUCUAAAUUGCUAAUGAUGAGCAACAUUCGUUUAGUCAUAUGCAUUUCCUAGAAGUAUAAUUGGAUCUCUAAGUUGAUCUACCCGAUCUGAUCCAGGUAAACAUCUUCAGUCCAAUUACCUGCUUGUUUUCAGUACAACAAUUGUUUUGCUUGAACAUUUGUAAAAUAUAACAUGUCCUACAAUUUUCUCUCAAAUACAACAAGUUGAUUGAUGCAUAUAUGACUUGUUUGUUCCCAUUCCUCGCAUAUGUGUAAUUUCUAACUUGUAUGCGAUAGGAUAAAGUUAUUUUGGUGAUUAUUCGGUGCAAACAACAAAUCUAAUACAUUUUUUUCAAAUGAGACCCGUCCAUGUAACCAAAACUAAAAUUUCACAAAAAAUGUUGAAUAGAGGUAAAGCUUCUUCACGCACAAUUUACUCGAUAUAUCUUUAAUAAUAUACGAAUCUAGAGAGUUCUGCCAUGUUCAUAUAACAAGCAAGUUACCAACAUGCAAAAUCUUGUCAAUCCAAGAAAGUUGAUUCCAUGGUAAUGCAUAUCAGUGGACACGAACUGGAUUAUGCUCAUCAUUAACAAGAGACGGUCUACAUAGAGAAUUAGUACUUUUGAUGUACGAUCAUGCCUAAUGUUUCACUUUAAUUGGGACCAAGGUCUAAAGAUUAUUUCUUUUGGUGUACGAUUACUAUUAGUUAGGUAUGUCUAAACCAUGAGUGGUGACUUUGCGAUCGACUGCACUGAUUUUUCUGGGCAUUGUUUUAACUUGUGAAUGGGGAUGGUGCUGUAAUUUCAGAAGAUUUAGCAAACUAGAUGUACGAUACAAUACUAUAAAUCUGGAUAUCAUAGGAGAAUGCCUAAUAAAUAUUGACAGUCAGCAGCCACCAGACCAACCAUAUUACAUGAUUUGUUGUGGGCAUUUGGACACUUUCUGUAAUACUACUUAUUGAUCUUAUACUAUUUUUCAUUAGAGAGUCUUUUUCAUUAAUGUAUUUCCACAGAUUAUGUUCCAGUUAUUUUGGUGGCUUGAAUAAGCAGUUUAUCUGCUAUGCUUGUAUUAUCUCUGUAGGAUUUCCAUCGGGAGAGCAAAAUUAAAUUAUUCUUUUUGUAGGUAAAAUAGUUUAUCCUUGCAAACACCCGAGUGUUCCCAUCAGUAGGUUAACUUCAUAGAGCCAUUGAGGCUAGGGGCAGAGCCAUCUUAUUCUGCAGCAAGUAAGACACUUCCUGUUGGCGUCUAAUGAAAGAUGUAAUGUUCGGUAGAUUGGUUGUUUGCCUGAAACUAGAAUGCUUUCCUAUUUUGUAAUUAUUGGGUCAUAUGGUUUGGCCACGGUGGCCGAUAAAGGCGAGAAGUGCUUCGUACUCCCAGAUAUUGUGUUGACUGUAGAAUGUAGUUGCGUCUAGCAAUGGCUUUCUAAAAUGUGAUCUCAAGUACCAUCCUUAGGUCUAGAGGCUGCAUCACACCUGCCUCAUAAUGAUCUGUUACAGAAAUUUACUGUUUCAGACUUAUGUUUUUCAGAUUUGUGGUUGAUGAUUUUUAUUUGAACCAAUGCAGCUAUACCAUUAGGCAUACCACUUUCAUUUAGUCAGUUACAUGAUAUACAUCUUUUUUGUGCAUGUAAGCAGGAAAAGGGGGCCAGUCAAUCCAAUUAGAAAUCAGCAAGGUCAAACUUUGAAUGCUCCAGAAAGGUAGUGCAGCUUCUUAUAGUUGUGUAUUACUUCAGCUUCUUAUUUAUUGAUGAUUUGUAAUUGCUUCCUCUGAAAACUGCUACGUUGCAUCGAGGAUGGGACUGUUACUGUCGAUUUUGUCGCCACGCCAAAGCUCUGGGGCAAGUCAGGUUUCAGAAGAUUUGCGAAAAUAUCAAGGUCGUCGAGAUCAAGUGUGGUUCCAGAAGGUGCCAGUGGCAUGGCGGUUCCCACAUUCGCCUUGAAGAAUGAAGGAAAUAACAAAGAACUUCAGCAGUGAUGCUCUUAUAGGAAAUAACCAAUAUGCAAUCUAACGAUAUCAUCUUGCAAUUUUUCAGUUCUGCUUUAUUUUAUACAUAACCAAUCGACAUGAUUUUCUAAUUUACAUGUCUUUCUGAACCAGAAACUUCAGGGAACUUAUUUCUCAACCAGGAGCUCCAGUUAACUUUUUCUGAAGAUUUUGGUCCAUGGUCUGUACUCUAUAGUUGCUUGAGCUUUUGCUAAAUUUUAAUCAGGUUAGGUUGCUCCUUUUAAAUCCAUAUCAUAGGGGCAGCAGAAGGAGAAGGGUGAUAUGGAUUACAAAUAACAAUGCUCGACAGAAGAAGGGAAGGGAGACAUGCAUGUGAUAAGAGGUUGCCACGACGAGUUGAUAAGUCAUGCAACAUGUGGAAAGCCCGGUUAAAACAGUGUGUGUGGUAAUACUAUAAUGAGUUUUUUAGGUCAUGCAUUGCGUUGAGAUAUGUUGUGGAAGCAUUGCCAUAUUGAUCUUCAAGAACCUCUUAGACAGCGAUAGUCCAAGCUUAUCUUCAUCUUUCUAUUAUAGACUUUUUUUGUGAGAAACUCUGCACUUUGAGGUCCUUCACCUCAUCAUGUCAUUAUCUGUAUAAUAUAAUAUUGUACAAUACCACAUUACCGAUUUCACUAUAAGAGGUUUUGAUUUUUUUUUGAAGUUUUCCUUUAGCUAUGCAUUAUAAAAUGGCACAUGUAAUUUGUGUCAAUGUAUUUUACACCUUUUGGGAAGUUAUCGUGUACUGUAUUAUGUUCUCUUGUAGUUUUCCUUGGAAUUUUUGUUUCACGAUUUUAUCAAAAAAAAAUUGAAUUCAUGAAAUUUAAUGCUUUCAAAUUGUGCCCCGAUCAAUAUUUUUUUGUGUGCGUAGGUAUGAUAAAUUACAUCUAUAUGUAUAAGGUGAGGUGUGUAGUUUCCUGCAUAAGGCUUAACUUCUCCAUAACGGUUAAUGCACACAUGAAGACUCUCUUGAAUGAUGGCAUUUAUUUGCUUGUGUCCGUGUUCUCUCACUGGCAGUUGUAAUGUAUAUCGUGCUAUUUACAUCCAUGGCUAGAUACAAUAUUAAGCUCGGAUACUGCUAAUAAGAAAAGAAUAUAGAUGAUAAGCAAAAGAAGAGUUCAGAUUACAUAAAAAAGCUUAAAUGAUAAGAAAAAAGAAAAAAGCUUAAAUUUGAAUGUGUAUCCUUUUAUAUUUUCGAAAAAGUUAUCAACUCGCAAUAGAGUAUUUCGCAUCUAUGCUUCGCUUGCGAGUGAGUGAGCUUCGUCUGUCUCAAGUGUCAAUUCAAAAAAAAAAGAUGAGGGCCAUGAGACUACAUGAUACUCUGUUUUCUUUGGCGUGCCUAUUAUUGAUGACGCCACUCUACUUCACCACUUCAUCUCAUGACAUAAUUUAGUGUUAUAAAAAUAAUACCAUAGGUCGAUGAUAUUGAAUUUAUAUUUAAAUCAAUAUUGUACACUAUUUACCUGUAUUUGUUACCCGUGGCAACGCACGGGCAUUUUACUAGUAUAAGAGAUAAGGAAACAGCAGCAGUGUAUACUUUAUAGUAUACCUUUGCAAGAUACAGAACAAGAAAAUUUCACUAAAUACUAUUCCAAAGCAGGAAAAUAAUAUUAUGUGGUGGGUAAAGAAGAACUGUCAAUAC